rnacentral:rRNA from 1 species
UACAGAGGGUGCAAGCGUUGUCCGGAAUCACUGGGCGUAAAGGGCGCGUAGGCGGCCCGAUAAGUAGGGGGUGAAAUCUUGCGGCUCAACCGCAAGGCUGCCUUCUAGACUGUCGGGCUUGAGCACAGUAGAGGCAGGUGGAAUUCCCGGUGUAGCGGUGGAAUGCGUAGAGAUCGGGAAGAACAUCGGUGGCGAAGGCGGCCUGCUGGGACGUUACUGACGCUGAGACGCGAAAGCGUGGGGAGCAAACAGG